AAAAUUAUACAUCAGGAGAACAUGGUAAAACUGUGCCAUAACACUAUAAAUGAUGUCCAUGAAAUUCAAUAGCAUGAAUUAUAGGGCACUAUUCCUGCAAAAUUAUAGUAAAUCAUUAUUUUUCAAUCAGUUUGUGUUUUUGAGAUGUAUAAAUUCAUUAUAAGGUACUUGUAUACACAUAGUCAGUAUACAUUAUGUACUGAACUGAGAAGGUCUCUAAAGAUCUUGAAGUAACCACUUCUGAAGCCCACUUCUUUCCCAUGAACGAUAAGAACUUUAGCCUGUGUUGACUAAGAAGAGAGCUGAUGCAGCCAGGAGCCAAUCUCUAAUUACACUGCAGUGUAUCCAAACUUCCCUUAUCAGGUUGUGCAUAACAUGGUUGCAUUACUGUUGGCCACUGUGUUGCUGGGCGAGUUAUCCUAAGAAUGCAUGCUUGUUUGUAAAAUCCUUUUCUGUUCAUUGUCUCUGAGUUUCAGGAAGAUGGGUAAUUGUAUCUAGUACAUUGUUGAUGUAAAUUAAAGAACUCCUAAUCUGCAAAAGAGGGCAAAUUGACCCGUGUCAAGUUUUCAGUGUUAGCAUCUUUUUUUAAUAUUUAUAAACACUGAGUGAAAUGGCCCUCUAUCACUAUGGUUAUUUCCUUCUAAAGCAGUAUAAAUUGCUACUAAACCCUAACUCACAUUUUCUGACUAAUUCAAGCCAUCUGCCAGUAAGUCCAACAGAUAUUUUUACAUUGUCUGUUAAUGAGAAUUGAUGGGCCAUUUCAUUUCUUUUUUCCUCAGACCUUGAGCGUAAAUACUAGCUUGGCAAGGGACCUUUCUAAUUUUUUUUUUUUUUUAAUGAUGCAGGCUUCUUUUAACUGAAACUUAGAGAAUAGUUUUCUUUGCUUUUUUGGAGCUCAGUGAUUUUUAUGACUUAAUGUGGUUGUCUAAUAAAACUGAUCUCCUACGAGUGUUUUAAAAUGGGUUCACUAUGGAUAACAUAGUAGAGAAAUUCAACACGUGCUGCCUUUUUGUCACAGAAUGCAUUUCAAAUUUCAGUCUAGUAAGAAGUGUCUAAAAAUAGUUGCCAUUGCCACUGCUUAGUUCAUGAGAAUCAGUUCUUGUGCAAUAUUAUGUUUACAUUCUUAUGUGAUGGACUUCUCUGCUUGUCUGUAUCAAUUGGCAUGAACUUCCCAAAGUACAGAUUUUAGAUUCAGUUUUCUCCAGAUCACAGUAUGAAACUGAAUGAUCUAAAUCUUUAUUGCCUCUGAUAUGCUUUGGGAAAAAACAUUUACAUUAGGCAUUAGAAAAAGUAUAACUGAGUGAGCAGUCGAGGAUUCUAAAUUAUAACUAUACUUAAAGAAAAAAUAUAGCUCAAGCAUUCUCAAAGGUAUUAGGGCUCUUGCUUAUGGGGUACUGAGAAAGGAGCCUCUGGACCUUUACUGAUGUGUCAGUUCUACUGUUUAUCCUCUGAUAAAGGAUUUUAAACUUGUCAAAGGAGGAUCAUAGACUAUUAGUAGAUGCAGGGAGAACAAUGGACUUUAUUUCUUUAUUUGACAACAAUUCUAUUAAGAACCUGAAAGAAAGACAAUUGAAAAAUUAACUCAAGCUGAGCUCAGUAAAAAGCCAUCGCUUAAAACAUCCCAUAAAUGAUGUGGUGAGUGCGAAAGACUUUGUUACUUAAGUAAUUUAUAUAUGAUCAGGAAAACGGCAUUCAGUCAUCUAUAAUUUCACAUGCCUGUUGCUGACAAUAGAUUAUUAACACAUGUAUGUGGAAUACUUGUGAAACUUCUGGGAAGCUUGCUGACGUAGAUUACUAAUUUGUAAUGCUAUAGGGCAAUGGAGUUCCUAGGGUGAUGGUUUGAGCCAGUUUAAGCAAAGGCUUAAUCUUGAGGUCCUUAAGUGGAUGGAAAAGUAUUGAAGCAAAUGUUGUAAUUCUCUAUAAUGAAAGUAUCGGGUGUAUAUGAACGCCAUGGGGUUGGAAGUUGCAUAAUCUUGACUAUCAGACCUACAUUUGAAGGUGGAAAGGAGUGUCGUUUCAUUACCACAUGCCAUAGAGCACUGGUACUAGGCACUAGCAAGUGCCAGGCCUUGAGGCUGGGUUAAGAAAUUAAAAAUUUAGGUUAUGCCACAGCCAUCCUGGAAAUUCCCUGUUAUUCCUGCUUUAUUUUGCAUUAGUUAUCUGAAUCAUUUUGGAGUUUCAGAGGUCAGUAUAAAUUUCAACCUUAAAAUAUAGAGUUAAGUAUAUUAAUUGAGGGCAUUAUCUAUUAGCCUGAUCUGUUUUAGUGGUGGAGGCGCCACCUGCUGAUACAUGUCUUUAUUCAUCCUCUUCCUUUUAUCUUCCACUUUGAUGAAGAUCCUUUCCUUCGGUCCUUCUCCAGAAGUGAAGCCUCACUCUGUGCAUCUUAUUGCCCAUAUCCACUCUCACUAACAUUCUUCAGGUUGAUAGCAACCAUGUGUUUAGAGUCAGGAACCUAAACCCCAGAUAUCCCAGGUGACUUACUGAGGUUACCAGGUCAUUUGUAGCAAAGCAAGAGAUGCAGCCCAAGAAAUUCUGACUCCUAGUCCAUCGGAAAAGAAUUCCAGACCUGACUCUGUUAUUUACUGUCUGCUUGGCAACAGAAAUACCAUUCAAUGUCUGAAUCAAAGGUUUCUCAUCUUUAAAAUAGAGGUAAUUAUUUUAUUCCCCAGAAUUUUGCAGGAGGAUGGCUGAAUAUGAGAUCAUACAAAUACACAUAACAGGUCCUCAAUAAAAAGUAAUUGUAUUUGUUCCAGAUGUUAGUGUGAUUAUGACCAUAUUGUAUUGUUUCUUCUUUGUAGACCAAAAGUUAUAUGUUGUUUUUCCCACCUGACUCUGUCCAAGAUUUUUAGUGCAUUUAUUUUAACCUUCUGAAAAACUGCUAGGCCAAGAUACCCUUGCUUUCUCCAAUUGGGACUACAAGUAAUUCUUUUUUCUAAAAUAGCAGAUUUAUAUAUGGCAGGUAAGUUAUAUAAAUAUGAUCCCUAUUGCAUACUUAGUACAUUAUGAGACAACUGUGAUUUAGAUGACGGAACCUAAUACCUUUGGCUUUAAAUGGAAAAAAAUCCACUCAAUCUAUAUGUCCAAAUAAACUGUCCUGUUUUCACUUUGCUUCAUGAGUAGAAAUUGCCAUUGGCAAAACCCUCAGUGUUCUGUGAAAUUUUGCAGUCUUUGGGCUUGAAAUGCUUAGAAUGCUUUAAAGAUCUGAAAUGAAAGCUAAAUUUCAAAAUGGCCAAUAAAGUGGCUUCCUUAUCCUACAAGCAUUUUUUUUUCCACUUGGCUUCCAGGACCCCAGACUCUCCAGUGACCAGUCUCAUUAGUCUUUUCUUCUCAGUUUCUUUUCUCUGAACCUCCUAAUAUUGACAUAAUCAGGGUUGGUACUAGGACCCCUUCUGUUCUCUUCUCUUCUUUCCCCUUCUCUCCCCUUCACUUCCCUUCUCUUCUUACCUACAUCAAUUUCCUCAGGGAGCACAUCACAUGUGAUUUUGAGCAAUCCCAACUAUAGGCUGAUGACUUAUCAAUAUAUAUCUCUAACUCAAAGUAUCCCUUGAUUUCCAUAUUUUCUAAAUUCAGUUGCCUACUUAAAAUAUCCAGUAGACAUCCUAAAUUCAUUGUACACAAAUGUGAACUUUUCAGUUUCUAAACGUACAGGAAAAGAAAUUUAAAAGAAAGGAUAGGAAAGGAAAAAAAAAAUCUGCUUUACAUUCUAUCCACUUCAUGUCUUUUAGAGGCAACUACAUUCUUGAAUGCCCCAGAUGAAAAUUCUCAGAAUCACUCUUGAACUGUCUUUUUCCCUCAGACUUCCAUCAAUUCAUUAGCAAAUCCUUCUAAUUCUUCUGUGAAAACAUAUCCUAAAGCCAACCAUGUCUCAUUAUCCCUACUGCUACUCUCCUGGUCCUCCCCUGCAUUAUUAUAGCAGCCUCUGACUGGUCUCCCUGCUUCUAGCUUUGCCUCUUUAUAUACGUUUCUCAACAUAAAAGCCAGAGUAAUUUUGUUAAAUCUCAAACCAUUCAGCUCAAAACUAUCUAAUGGCUCUUCAUUUCUCUCAGGUCAAAAGCUAAAGACCUCUGGCAUUCUAUUACCUUUUAGACUUUUAUCUUCUACUUGUACUCCUCUUGCUGACUCUGCUUUAGCCUGCAGUUGUCUUCACUGGGCACACUGCCUGCCUCGGUUCUCUGCAUUUGCUGUGACUUUUGCUUGGAAAGCUUCCUCAAGUAUCUUUCCUUCCUUUGAAGACUUUGUUCAAAUGGUACCUUCUCAUUGAGGCACAUUCUGGCCAUUCUAUCUAACACUGACUCUUAGGACUUCCCAUAUGCCUCAGCCUGCUUUUUAUUUACUUUUACCAUGGUGUUAAUCUCCAUCUAAUGUGCAGAGACUUUCCUAAUAUGUUUAUUCUUAUUCUUCUUUAUUUAUAUCCCUUCACUAAAAUGUGAUCUCCACAAGGGCAGAUAUUUUUGUCUUUGUUCACAGAUGAAUAAUAUCCAUAUAUAACUCUUGUUUAAUGAAGGAAUGCAUAUGCCGUAUCUUGCACUGCCGUGUUCUCUUCCAGUUCUGACUUCUAAUGAGAAUCGCUUGUGUUCUCUUGGGAUGACAUGUCUACAGAAAAAUGUUACCUUCAGGCAUAUCCCUUAAUUACACCGUUUUCUGGUUUGCUAAUAAUAAAGAGCUGAUUGCCAUAGCUGUCUUUUUUUUUCCUCAUCAGCUUUACUAAAUUUGUGCUUUACAAUUCAAAAUUAAUGCAAGUACCAAGAAACAUAAGGAUGAUGUAUACCUUCUCUAUUUUGAAAAUGAAACUGGUUACAGAGUCAUGUUUUUUGUUUUUGUCUUUGUUUUACCUAAAAAAGGACUUCUGGGAUCUAAUCCAUUGCCUAAAUUUACACUUAGAGAAGUCCAACUCAUCCAGAAGUCAUGACUUACCUGCCUAUUAUAUAUUAGGCCCUGUCAUAGGCUUUAGGAAUAUGAAAAUGAUUCUGACAUUAUUUUUACCUUGAAGAAACUUCCACUCUUGUAGGUAAGACCAGUAAGUAAAUAUUAAAUUCAUUGUUGUGUGAGUUCCACUUUAAAGGGAAACACUUGAAGAAGUCCUGCUUGAGAUUGAGCCCUGGAAAAGUCACUGCAAACCAACCGUGCUUCUUCAUCUCCUGGUUCAGUGUUCAGGAUGAAAGAGGAACCAGUUUAUAACAACAGAAACAGAGAGAGUAUUUUUAAGUAGGGAGUAUUUGAAAGAGAGAAAGAGAGUAUCUUCAUAGUCAAUGUCUAGAGUAAAAAUUUAGCAUGUAUGUUUUAAGUCUAAAAGAUUUUGUUAUUCAAUUAACCAUUUAUCAAUUGCAUAUUGAAAGCUGCUCUGUGAUAUAUGGCAUAUAAAGUGUUGCAAAUUGGUUGUAUCUUACAAUAUUCUUCUUGAUGUCAUUAGUACAUUGCAGUGUUUAGACAAAAGGAUGACUGAAAAUGCUAUUUUGAGUUGUCAAAGUAGUACAAACUUGAGAGUUUAAUCCAGUGUUUAAUAUGAUAAAUGUGACUUCAUUAAUAUAUUCAUAUUGUUUGCAUAAAGCAAAGCAGUGUAUACUUAAUGUUAGGGUUUUGAUAAAGCUUUUUUAUGAAAACUUACUGGAAAAUGUUGCUUUAGUUGCAUAAGUCUUCUUUAAAUCUCUUUAUCUUCCUUUGCUGCUCUCCCUCUCUCUCUUUUAGAUAAAGAGUUAAAAAAGAUGAAACAUUAUAUGCCACACAUCUUACAUUUUGAAUGAUGUGGAAACACCUGUUCCUUUCGUGUCUAUCAGAAGUAAAUCCUAACCCAGUCUGACAAGUCUGUGUACAUGGAAUAUUAGUUUUUUCUCUUAGGUCUCCACAGACAACUCAGACUAAUAGUCGAUCCUCUUGCCCAGGGGAAUAGAAAGUGAUAAAGCAUCACUGGAUGAGGUAGGUAGAGAGAAGUCAGAAAUUAAAUAGUAAUCACAUAACAGGCCCAUGCCACUGGCCUCUCCUUUUCGGAAGGAAAAGGUGACCGAAACUAGAAGAAUGCCCCAGGUCACGGUUGCUUUUAUUGUUCUCACAUUCACUUCUGGAAAUGAAACAAGGAUUCUUUCCUUCUGCUUUAGUUUCCCCUUUUUCUUCAGUCUCCUAGGAACUGGUUCGGGGCCUAGUAGUCAAAUAACUUCUAUUCUCCAACACUGAUAUCCUUCCAAUAUUCCCUUCAGUUAAUUUCUUUAGGCUCUAAUUCAUGACAUUUUCCUAAAUCUGUAAGUAAUUAUUUGGGAACUAUGUUAGGUAUAAAAUGUUGCCUUGGAGUUCCCAUCGUGGCUCAGUGGUUAACAAAUCUGACUAGGAACCAUAAGGUUGCAGGUUCGAUCCCUGACCUUGCUCAGUGGGUUGAGGAUCCAGCAUUGCUGUCAGCUGUGGUGUAGUUUGCAGACAAAGCUCAGAUCGCGCAUUGCCGUGGCUCUGGCAUAGACCGGCGGCUACAGCUCUGAUUAGACCCCUAGCCCGGGAACCCCCAUAUGCUGUGGGUGCAGCCCU
rnacentral:lncRNA from 1 species